AUUGAACGCUGGUGGCAGGCCUAACACAUGCAAGUCGAGCGGCAGCGGAAAGUAGCUUGCUACUUUGCCGGCGAGCGGCGGACGGGUGAGUAAUGUCUGGGAAACUGCCUGAUGGAGGGGGAUAACUACUGGAAACGGUAGCUAAUACCGCAUAACGUCGCAAGACCAAAGAGGGGGACCUUCGGGCCGCUUGCCAUCAGAUGUGCCCAGAUGGGAUUAGCUAGUAGGUGGGGUAACGGCUCACCUAGGCGACGAUCCCUAGCUGGUCUGGGAGGAUGACCAGCCACACUGGAACUGAGACACGGUCCAGACUCCUACGGGAGGCAGCAGUGGGGAAUUUUGCACAAUGGGCGCAAGCCUGAUGCAGCCAUGCCGCGUGUAUGAAGAAGGCCUUCGGGUUGUAAAGUACUUUCAGCGGGGAGGAAGGUGUUGAGGUUAAUAACCUCAGCAAUUGACGUUACCCGCAGAAGAAGCACCGGCUAACUCCGUGCCAGCAGCCGCCGUAACAC
rnacentral:rRNA from 1 species